AUUGCUUUAAACCUUUUGGUUAUAAAUAAUUGUUAGUGGCAGACGGGUGAGUAAUGCGUAGGAAUCUACCUAGUAGUAUGGAAUAGCCAUUAGAAAUGAUGGGUAAUACUGUAUAAUCCCUGCGGGGGAAAGGUUUAUCGCUAUUAGAUGAGCCUACGUUAGAUUAGCUAGUUGGUAAGGUAAUGGCUUACCAAGGCUAUGAUCUAUAGCUGGUCUGAGAGGACGAUCAGCCACACUGGAACUGAGAUACGGUCCAGACUCCUACGGGAGGCAGCAGUGGGGAAUAUUGGACAAUGGGCGAAAGCCUGAUCCAGCUAUGCCGCGUGAGUGAAGAAGGCCUUCGGGUUGUAAAACUCUUUCAAUAGGGAAGAUA
rnacentral:rRNA from 1 species